UACAGAGGGUGCGAGCGUUGUUCGGAAUUAUUGGGCGUAAAGAGCGUGUAGGCGGCUAGGUAGGUCCGUUGUGAAAACUCGAGGCUCAACCUCGAGACGUCGAUGGAAACCAUCUAGCUAGAGUCCGGAAGAGGAGAGUGGAAUUCCUGGUGUAGCGGUGAAAUGCGCAGAUAUCAGGAAGAACACCCGUGGCGAAGGCGGCUCUCUGGUACGUGACUGACGCUGAGACGCGAAAGCGUGGGGAGCAAACAGG
rnacentral:rRNA from 1 species